UACGGAGGGCGCGAGCGGUGUUCGGAAUCAUUGGGCGUAAAGCGCGUGUAGGCGGCUUGGUAAGUCGAGUGUGAAAGCCCGGGGCUCAACCCCGGAAGGUCGCUCGAAACUGCCUGGCUAGAGUCCCGGAGAGGAAGGCGGAAUUCCCGGUGUAGAGGUGAAAUUCGUAGAUAUCGGGAGGAACACCAGCGGCGAAGGCGGCCUUCUGGACGGUGACUGACGCUGAGACGCGAAAGCGUGGGGAGCAAACAGG
rnacentral:rRNA from 1 species